rnacentral:SRP_RNA from 1 species
GCCCGGCGUGGUGGCGCAUGCCUGUAGUCCCAGCUACUGGGGAGGCUGAGGUGGGAGGAUUGCUUGAGCCCAGGAGUUCUGAGCUGUAGCGCGCUAUGCCAAUCGGGUGUCCACACUAAAUUCGGCAUCAAUAUGGUGACCUCCCGGGGGUGGGGGACCACCAGGUUGCCUAAGGAGCGGUGAACCGGCCCAGGUUGGAAACGGCGCAGGUCAAAACUCCCGUGCUGAUCCAUAGUGGGAUCGCGCCUGUGAAUAGCCACUGCACUCCAGCCUGGGCAACACAGCGAGACCCUGUCUCU